GGUCAGGACGAACGCUGGCGGCGUGCCUAACACAUGCAAGUCGAGCGAGGAGAUCCUUCGGGAUGAUCCUAGCGGCGGACGGGUGAGUAACACGUGGGCAACCUGCCUCAUAGAGAGGAAUAGCCUUCCGAAAGGGAGAUUAAUACCUCAUAACAUUGCAGUUUCGCAUGGAACAGCAAUUAAAGGAGUAAUCCGCUAUGAGAUGGGCCCGCGGCGCAUUAGCUAGUUGGUGAGGUAACGGCUCACCAAGGCGACGAUGCGUAGCCGACCUGAGAGGGUGAUCGGCCACAUUGGGACUGAGACACGGCCCAGACUCCUACGGGAGGCAGCAGUGGGGAAUAUUGCACAAUGGGGGAAACCCUGAUGCAAGCAACGCCGCGUGAGUGAUGACGGCCUUCGGGUUGUAAAGCUCUGUCUUCAGGGACGAUAAUGACGGUACCUGAGGAGGAAGCCACGGCUAACUACGUGCCAGCAGCGGC
rnacentral:rRNA from 1 species